rnacentral:rRNA from 1 species
CCUACGUGGAGCUGCAGUGGGGGAUAUUGCACAAUGGGCGAAAGCCUGAUGCAGCGACGCCGCGUGAGGGAAGACGGUCUUCGGAUUGUAAACCUCUGUCUUUGGGGAAGAAUAGAGACGGUACCCAAAGAGGACGAUCCGGCUAACUACGUGCCAGCAGCCGCGGUAAUACGUAGCGAGCGAGCGUUGUCCGGAAUUACUGGGUGUAAAGGGAGCGUAGGCGGGCUUGUAAGUCGAAUGUCUAAUCCACCGGCUAAACCGGGGAUCGCGUUCAAAACUGGAGGUCUUGAGUGAAGGAGAGGGAGGCGGAAUUCCUAGUGUAGCGGUGAAAUGCGUAGAUAUUAGGAGGAACACCAGUGGCGAAGGCGGCCUGCUGGGCUUUAACUGACGCUGAGGCUCGAAAGCGUGGGGAGCAAACAGGAGUAGAUACCCCUGUAGUC